CCGACCACGCCCGCCGUACCUAGGCCCGCCCCCUUACUUCCCUAUAUAAACCUCUAGCCGUCCAAACAAUGUCAGACAUUGCUGGACGGCAGAGGUACUAGUGACAUGUCUGGUGGCCACACUGAGCGCUUGUCUCUUAUUGGAGCUCUGCUAGCUCUCUACUGACACCUCUGGCCAAAUUUAAUAUGACACAUUUCUGCUAACCUCAGGUUUUUACAUUAUCAUAUGUUACUUUGUGACUAUAUGGGCCUGAGGUCUUGCUAUAUGUGAUUCUGCACCGCCGGCUUCCUUCCUCUUAAUUUCAUCCAGAGGAGUCUUUCUGCGUCCUGAUAGUGGUGUCCUUUCUCUGGGGUGUGCAGGGUUGAUUAAACGCUGUGAUUGAAAAGUGGUUCUUAUACUCGUUGACUACAUAUACUUCGGCCCCUGAUGAAGGG